UAUACUUAAAAGGGAAAUUCCGAUUCCCUUGGUCGGGCGUGGAGUCUGAGAUUCUGCAUUUCUAACAAGCUCCCAGGUUACAGCUGCCGCUGGUCCAAGGACCAACCUUUGAGGGCUAAGGGGUUUGUUGAAUGGGGUGAAGAAAUUUAGGGCUAGAGAGGAAAGGUGCUUUCUGAAGAAAACGAUAAGCUGGGGGUACCAGUGGCCUCAGAAGGGGCAGCAACAGAAGCCAACUGGAUGAGCAGGAAUCGUGUUAGAAACUGGCCAGAGGAAGGACUGCGGUCUCCACGGUCACUUUAUUCGGAGCAAAGUCUUAGGAAAAGAGAGGAGGGAGGCGCUCGCACUCUGGCUUUGGAAGAAAACGUUGCACGGGACGGGCUGGAGAUUCUUUGGAAAGGGCAGCAGACGCGCACCUGGUUAAGAAGUGCCUUUUACCUCCCACCACGAUUCUGAGGCCUCUUCAGCCAUGUGGAACUCUAAGUCCAGUUAAACCUCCUCUUCUUCAUAGUAUCAGGUUUUGGGGCACAUGUGAAGAACAUGCAGGAUUGUUGCAUAGAUUGUUCAUUAUUGGCAUAUGGAAAUGCUACUGAUAUAGCAAAGGACACAAUCAAUAAAGUGAAGAGAUGAUUGACAGAAUUGGAGAAAAUAUUUGACAAGGGA